AGAGAGAGAGACAUGGAGCUGCUUUCUCCGGCAGAGGCUGUGAUAGGUUUCAGAGAGCGGCGCUCAGAGCCGGUGUGUGGGAGCCUCGCUGGUAGAAAGGAGCGGAGAGAAUUCACAAGUCCCGGCUAGAGGUACUCAUGGAGUUCCUGACUCAAUAGAUUUGCCAACUGUUGGUUGGGACGAUGGUUGGUCAGCCAGAAAGACAAAGUCAUGGAGUCUUCAAUCAAUCCUGCUGCCAGGGUUCCCAGUGUGUUGUUUAUCCUAUUGGUGAGCUGCGGGGUGGGGUCAAACACCACGCAAUUUCAUCCACAGAUGCC